UACAGAGACUGCAAGCGUUAUUCGGAUUCACUGGGCGUAAAGGGUGCGCAGGUGGCCAAGUGUGUUAGGCGUGAAAGCCCGGGGCUUAACCCCGGAAUUGCACCUAAAACUACUUGGCUAGAGCAUUGGAGAGGGGAGCAGAAUUCAUGGUGUAGCAGUGAAAUGCGUAGAUAUCAUGAGGAAUACCAGAGGCGAAGGCGGCUCCCUGGACAAUUGCUGACACUCAGGCACGAAAGCGUGGGGAGCGAACAGG
rnacentral:rRNA from 1 species